rnacentral:rRNA from 1 species
GAACGAGAAAGGGGAGCAAUCCCUGAGUAAAGUGGCGACCGGGUGAGUAACACGUGACUAACCUGCCUUCGAGUGGGGAAUAACCUCGGGAAACCGGGGCUAAUACCGCAUAAUGCCUUCGGGUUAAAGGAGCAAUUCGCUUGAAGAGGGGGUCGCGGCUGAUUAGCUAGUUGGCGGGGUAACGGCCCACCAAGGCGAAGAUCGGUAUCCGGCCUGAGAGGGCGCACGGACACACUGGAACUGAAACACGGUCCAGACUCCUACGGGAGGCAGCAGUGGGGAAUUUUGCGCAAUGGGGGAAACCCUGACGCAGCAACGCCGCGUGGAGGAUGAAGCCCUUUGGGGCGUAAACUCCUUUCGACUCGGAAGAUAAUGACGGUACGAGUGGAAGAAGCGCCGGCUAACUCUGUG